rnacentral:tRNA from 1 species
GCCCAAGUGGCGGAAUGGUAGACGCGUUAGUUUCAGGUAUUAAUGGCCGCAAGGCUGUGCAAGUUCGAGUCUUGUCUUGGGCA